UACUACUUCAAUAAGCAAGAAGUCUGGGUCAGCUCUCUCUUCUUGCUCCUUGAGAACUCUUGAAAAGCUGAAAUUGCCAUGGAGUCAGCGCUUCCAAACCCCCUCCACGCUCUCAAAGUUGAGAUGACAGUCUUGGAAGAGUGAAAGGCGGUGUGCUUGACAGGCACGAAACAACGCUAUUUCCUCCCCACGAAAUCACCGAAGCCAAGUGUCCGCCGCCGUAGCCGCCGCCCCGCGCCCUCCUUCCAAGAGAUAAGUGACAUCUAUGGCUGUUGGAAGAUCACAGAGGGAGAGAGAGUGGGAAUUAGGAGCUUGGAGAGAAACAGCUGACACACACAAGGUGUUAUAUCAAAGAAACAGCAAAGGUAAAGAAAUCAGGACCCCUCCCCCUCCCCCACAUCGCUCUCACCGAGAAGUCUCUUUUGGGCGUGAGCCGCUUGGGGAAAUGGUUGAAGGCAUAUGGCUUGGUGCAGACUGGGUAGCGGUUACGGUGGAUCUUGUAGAACAGUAUGUGUAGAGAUCGAGGACACAGCAGGUUCCCACCACCGCCUCCAGGGGGAUGAUCUCGUACAGCGGCAUGCGGAACAACUCGUUCUGGUAAAACCGUCGCGAUGGUGAAUGAUGCGUCUCAUGAGGACGGAAGUAGUG